GCGCUGCUAGCUCAGUUGGUAGAGCACCUGACUCUUAAUCAGGGUGUCCGGGGUUCGAGCCCCCGGCGGCGCA
rnacentral:tRNA from 1 species